rnacentral:tRNA from 1 species
GGCCAUGUGGCGCAAUGGAUAGUGCGUCUGACUACGGUUCAGAAGAUUACAGGUUCGAAUCCUGGCAUUAUUA